GACGAACGCUGGCGGCGUGCCUAAUACAUGCAAGUCGAACGCAGUGGGGACGGGUGAGUAACACGUGGGUAACCUCCCAUCAGAGGGGAUAACACUUGGCAACAGGUGCUAAACCGAUACUGAUGGAGGUACCCGCGGUGUAUUAGCUAGCUGGUGAGGUAACGGCUCACCAAGGCCACGAUGCAUAGCCGACCGGUGCGGGUGAUCGGCCACACUGUGACUGAGCCACUGCCCAGACUCCUACGGGAGGCAGCAGUAGGGAAUCUUCUGCAAUGGACGAAAGUCUGACCGAGCAACGCCACGUGAGUGAAGAAGGUUUUCGGAUCGUAAAACUCUGUGGUUAGAGAAGCGGUAUCUAACCAGAAAGCCACGGCUAACUACGUGCCAGCAGCCGCGGUAAUAC
rnacentral:rRNA from 1 species